GACGAACGCUGGCGGCGUGCCUAAUACAUGCAAGUCGAGCGAGUCUGCCUUGAAUAUCGGGGUGCUUGCACUCUGUGAAACAAGAUACAGGCUAGCGGCGGACGGGUGAGUAACACGUGGGUAACCUGCCCAAGAGAUCGGGAUAACACCUGGAAACAGAGGCUAAUACCGGGUAACAACAGAUGAUGCCUAUCAACUGUUUAAAAGAUGGUUCUGCUAUCACUCUUGGAGGGGCCUGCGGGGCAUUAGCUAGUUGGUAGGGUAACGGCCUACCAAGGCGGGGAUGCAUAUCCGAGUUGAGAGACUGAUCGCCGGCAUUGGGACUGAGACACGGCCCAAACGCCUACGGGAGGCCGCAGUAGGGAAUCUUCCACAGUGGACGGGAGUCUGAUGGAGCAGGGGCGAGCGAGUGAAGAAGGGGUUCGGCUCGUAAAGCUCUGUUGUUGGUGAAGAAGGACAGGGGUAGUAAAUGACGUGUGUGUGACGGUAAUCAAUUAGAAAGUCCCGGCUAACUACGUG
rnacentral:rRNA from 1 species